UAAGUGAAGAGUUUGAUCCUGGCUCAGAGUGAACGCUGGCGGUAGGCCUAACACAUGCAAGUCGAACGGCAGCACAGAGG
rnacentral:rRNA from 1 species